GAAGGAAGAGUUCAUGCUGAGACAGCUUCCUGGAGGUGGUGGGAUUUGCAGCAGAGGUAGGAUGUGCAUAGGCGGGAGACAGAGUCUUCCAGACCAGGGAGGCUAUGGCCAGCAGCCCCAUGGACUCCAGGCAACCUGCAUCCACUUGGCCAGGCUGGACCACCUUGAAGUGAGUCAGCACUGCACAAGCCUCACACCCACCAGGUGGACACAGAAGCCCAGAAAGUGACGAAAGUACAUGCACGUGCUUUGGGCCUUGGAGAAGGUCCGAGGGUCAAGAUCAUGCUGACCAGGCCAGGCCUGGUGGGGCAAAUGCUCGGAGGCCCCGCUGGUUAGGCGCCUGUGAAGGCUGGUUCAGCAGGCCUGGGGAAGGACCAGCUGACAGCUGCCCACGAGCCAAACUGACUUAAUGAACACCACAGAGUUGGACAUGCUGAAUGCUUGUUUGAUUUUUUUUUCUUUCAGGAUGGAAGCUGAGGACGGAACCCAGAGCUUCACCCAGGCUAGGCUAGUGUUGUGCCACUAAGCCACAUCCUCUCUCCGCAAAUGCUGCAUUUUUGACACAGUGCAUCAGAACUUACAGGACUGGGCCAACUCUCCAGUUCCAUCACCCCUGCCCGAGAAUAGUUCUUGGGAUGGGGGCUGGGCUCUGAUGCUGACCGGAUUCAGGCUCACCACACACAAAGCAUGCUGACCCCUGCACAAGGUCACCUGCCACUGCACCUGCAGCAGUAGUUCUCUGUGGAGGAACAGCCACAGGGCAGAGACUUGGAGCCAAACUUUGUGGGAAGAAAAAACAGGACUUGUGGUAGCGGCUUAAGGGCCUCAAGGGGGUCUCUUGUUGCUUCUCCAUCCACACCUUGCCAGGCAAAGACCAGCCUGUCCUUGUCACCUCCAAUUCAACAAACAGUGACAGCCGGAACACGGGGGCCAUCCCUGCAGCCACCACAGCCUGGGCCUUGCUGGAGUGAUGUCCCUGGUCCUGCUCUGCUCGCUGCUGACCCUCUGUGUCUGUGUAGGAACCCCCACGCUGUGGGUGCAAGUGCAGAUGGUGGCCGCCGAGCUCCUGACCUUCACUGUCCGCUGUGGGUUCCUGGGGCCUGGCUUCGUCUCCCUGGUGACUGUGAGCUGGUGGGAGCCCAAUGCUACCCAAGCAACUGAGCUGGCUGUGCUGCACCCAGAAUUUGGAGUUCGCCAGUGGGCCCCUGCUCGCCAGGCCCGCUGGUUAAACGAAAGCAGCGUCUCCCUCACCCUGGAAGGGGCUGAGGUGCAAAGCCCCCAGGCCAACCCCACCUUCUGCUGCAAGUUUGUUUUCUACCCCGAGGGCUCCCACGAGGGCUGUGCGAACCCUCUGGCCAGCUCAGACCAAGGGCACCCUGCCCCAACUCCAGCCCCCAUUUGGCGGGCAGGCCUGGCUGGUAUCUUGGGGGCCUCAGGGGUCCUCCUGCUUGGCUUCGUCUUUGUCCUCUACCUCCUGCGCCGGUGGAGGCAUUGGUCUGUCACUAAGCUUCAGCGCCAGCCCCUUGCCAGGGUCCAGACUCGGAUGGCUGCUCUCCGCCUCCCCUACCCUACCACCAGCUUCUGCCCAGCAGCUCUGGAAAUGACCCAUCUCCACCAGCGACUGUCCCAAUGGGCACCAGUCCCUGCCCGUCCUGCACACCAAUCCCGGGGUGGCAGUGCUGGGCAGGGGACCACCUGGCUCUGCAGGCCCUCGCACCGGGGCCUGGGAAGAUGGGACUGCGGUUGGGGGCCUCCAGCAGGAUGGUUCUACUCAAGUCCCGCGGCACUGGCCGCUCUCCUGUGAUGGCAGCAGGGGCUGCUGGGGCUCCACGGAGAGAGGUCCGCGUGGUCUGAGCUGGCCUCCCUAUGAUGGCGAUCUGCGUGGCCUGAAACGGGACUCUAGGGCCCUCUCGCGCAGACUUGGGAUUUGGAGCGACAAAGGGACCCUCCUCAAGCCUCACAGUUGCUCCCCCCAGCUCCUCCCCAUUACUAGGGCACCAGGCACUGCUCCCCGCGGGCCCCUCAGGGGCAGACGGAGCGGUCCUUGCAGGUGCCGAGGCUGCCAACUGUCCCACGCAAGCACCAGCCUCCUCUGUGCUCAGGCCAGGCACCUUAGCUUCCUCAGCUUUUGCCACAGGGGACAGCAGUGACAGCCCUGUGAGUUCGAGACUCCCCAGGAAAAUAACAGGGCCGUGGAGCAAGGUGCAGCCCUGCACCCACAGCCAGGCAACACUAGCAGGAUCUCCCUUUGGCCUUGAGCCUGCAGGGGGCUCUGGACAGUGGCACAGCCAGCCUAUGCUGCUCAGCUCAGGAAAGCUACUUGGAGGCGGGGUCCACCCACGGAACCCUCCAGCACUCACCACCGAGCCUGCUCUAAGGGCCUUCCCAGGGCCAGCCCCCGCAGCUCUGGCUCCAUGCUGCACCUGGCAGAGGGGUCUUCACGGAUGCCCGGGCCUGCCUGGAUCAGCCUGCACUCAUCUCCACCUUGCAGAAGCCCUCAGCCCUGGCCUGGUCAGCCUAGUGGUCCCUCCUGGGCUGGGAGCUCAAAAGAAGGAAGAGGGGGUGUUGCGAGACCUCUGAGGAGGGCCAGGGAGGGAGAGAGUAGAUUGGGCCAGCACUCCAGGACCUGAUCUGGACCCGGCACAGGGGUGUGGGACAGUGAGCUUGCAGGGUCUCAGGGGGAAGGCUGAGGGACUCCCCAAAACUUUUGCUUCUGUGAAUGUCCCCUGGGCCAUCAUGGAGAGGAGAAACACCCCAUCUCCUGAUUCUGCUCCCACUCACUCGGAAGCACGAGGACACAGUCAGCCUCCUCCCCGUGAUGCUGGAGAUCAAACAUGAGGACCCAGGAAGUCUCCCUUAGCCAGUGGCUCCCUACUGCCCAGCCCAAGUGCCAGACCCGGCAGCAGGCAGAAAGGCCUCCGGAGCUGAGCUGAGCUGCUCAGUGCCCCGAAGGGCAGCUGGGCCACAGUCCUGAUUCUGCAGCCCUCUCCUUUUCUUUUUCUUUUUUUUUUCUUUCUCACAGUACUGAGGAAUGAACCCAGGGACUUUGCACUGAGCUACAUCUCCAGCUCCUUUCCCAUUUUUUUCUUUUGAGACAGGUUCUUAUCAAACUGCUAAACUGCUGGCUAGAUGUACAUAGUGGUGCCUAUAAUCCCAGCACUCAGGAGGCUGAAGCAGGAAGAUCAUGAGCUCAAGGGCAGCCUGGACUACAAACUGAGUUCAAGGCCAGCCUGCACUAUAUAGUGAGACCCUGUUUCAAAAAAACCAUCUGGGCCAGGGAUACAGCUCAGCAGCACAAGCACCUGCCCAGCAAAUGCAAGGUCCUGAGUUCAAUUCCCCGUACCAAAAAAAAAAGAAAAAAACAUCUGCUAAAUUGCCCAGACUGGGCUCAAACUUGAAAUCCUCCUACCUCAGCUUCCCAGAGUGCUGGGUUUACAGGCCUGUGCCACCACUCCUGGAUACAAGCCUCCUUUUUAGGACCCUAUCCAUUCAGCAUGUGCAGAAAUCUGAGGCCCGAGACAAAUUGCUUAUCAAGGAGACAGAACUGAUUUCUCAGACCUCUAUUUCUUUUCCCAGCCAUCCAGAAUGGCCCCACAAUAUCAAUAAAAUUGACCCAGGUCGGGUCACUCCUGGUUGUGUGACCUGGCUAACCUCAGAAGCUUUCUUC
rnacentral:lncRNA from 1 species